rnacentral:tRNA from 1 species
GAGGGUAUAGCUCAGUGGUAGGGCACAUGCUUAGCAUGCAUGAAGCCCUGGGUUCAGUUCCCCAGUACUGCCA